CCUACGGGGGGCAGCAGUGGGGAAUAUUGCACAAUGGGGGAAACCCUGAUGCAGCGACGCCGCGUGAGUGAGGAAGUAUUUCGGUAGGUAAAGCACUAGCAGCAGGGAAGAAAAGGACGGUACCUGACUAAGAAGCCCCGGCUAACUACGUGCCAGCAGCCGCGGUAAGACGUAUGGGGCAAGCGUUAGCCGGAUUUACUGGGGGUAAAGGGAGCGUAGACGGCUAAUCAAGUCAGAAGUGAAAACCCAGGGCUCAACUUUGGGACUGCUUUUGAAACUGAGUAGCUAGAGUGCAGGAGCGGUAAGCGGACUUCCUCGUGUAGCGGUGAAAUGCGUAGAUAUUAGGAGGAACACCAGUGGCGAAGGCGGCUUACUGGACUGUAACUGACGUUGAGGCUCGAAAGCGUGGGGAGCACACAGGAUUAGAUACCCCAGUAGUC
rnacentral:rRNA from 1 species